GCUGGGUGUGGUGGUGCACACCUGUAAUCCCAGUGACUCCAGAGGUUGAGGUAGGAGGAUCACAAGUUUAAGGCCAGCCUUAGCAACUUAACAAGGCUUUCAGCAACAGUGAGACUGUCUCAA
rnacentral:sRNA from 1 species